rnacentral:lncRNA from 1 species
GUAGGAAUGGAGCACUUUUACUCUUGAAAUAUCUGAGACCUGUUGCAAAGCCCAUUAAAACUGAUGCAGCUUUCUUUUAUGGAUUUCACUAGGUUUGGCUCAAGUCCUCGGCAACAUUGCUCUUGCUUAAUGUGAAACUUGGAAGCAACCCUGGGUAAACAAGCCAGGCUAAUAUUCUACAGGCUGAUCGUAACUACUUGAAGGAGAAGACAGAAUCCUGACUCAUAAAGGACACAUCAAAAGAACAAGAUUUGUUCUUCCCAUCUACAGAGAUUACAGAAGCAUUGUGAGAGGUCAGAUCUUCAGCUGCUUGUAACCAGACCUGUCUAGUCAAUUGCUGUCGGGACAAGACUCAUGCUCUCAGACCCCAUCUCCUGCUUCCGUCUGCAGUGCAGGCCUCCGUCCUGCUGCGGGCGGCCCCGAGCUGGAGGGAAGCCAUGGUGCUGUGCUGCAUGCGGCACUGCGUCUGCGAACAGGCUGUGCUGGAAGGUGUGCUUCCCAGCUGAUGGGACAUCGCUUCCACCAGACCCAGCUGCCCGUCCCCUCUGCUGGCGAAGGUGGUAUGACAUAUCCCUUGUGACCUGGAGGCCCUGCAUUGCCCUGCUGAGCAGCAAAAAUACUGACCAGAUUACACUGCUAUGCUGUUUUCAUCUCCGUUGUUGAUUGCUUUUGCCACCAGCUCAGCAGAGUACCCAAAGCAGCCCCAGACUAAGGACCUCUCCAUGAGAAGACCAUGUGAGAAACAUCACCUUUAUUGCAAGAGAUUGGAAACUGGCCAGAUGAUCUCUUUAUUUUGAUGUUCUUUUGCAUUGACACCAUUAGACAUUUGUGGUUUCCACCGGUGAGAGAGGUAAGUGGGAGGACAGUAUUUUCAGAGCUGAAUCAAGAGAUUCAUUUUCCUAAAAUAAAUAUAGCAGCAGACUUCA